AGAGUUUGAUCCUGGCUCAGAUUGAACGCUGGCGGCAUGCUUUACACAUGCAAGUCGAACGGCAGCGGGGGCUUCGGCCUGCCGGCGAGUGGCGAACGGGUGAGUAAUGCAUCGGAACGUGCCCAUGUUGUGGGGGAUAACUACGCGAAAGCGUAGCUAAUACCGCAUAAGCCCUGAGGGGGAAAGCGGGGGAUUCUUCGGAACCUCGUGCGAUUGGAGCGGCCGAUGUCGGAUUAGCUAGUAGGUGAGGUAAAGGCUCACCUAGGCGACGAUCCGUAGCGGGUCUGAGAGGAUGAUCCGCCACACUGGGACUGAGACACGGCCCAGACUCCUACGGGAGGCAGCAGUGGGGAAUUUUGGACAAUGGGCGCAAGCCUGAUCCAGCCAUGCCGCGUGAGUGAAGAAGGCCUUCGGGUUGUAAAGCUCUUUCGGCCGGGAAGAAAUCGUGUUCUCUAACAUAGGACAUGGAUGACGGUACCGGACUAAGAAGCACCGGCUAACUACGUGCCAGCAGCCGCGGUAAUACGUAGGGUGCGAGCGUUAAUCGGAAUUACUGGGCGUAAAGCGUGCGCAGGCGGUUUUGUAAGACAGAUGUGAAAUCCCCGGGCUUAACCUGGGAACUGCGUUUGUGACUGCAAGGCUAGAGUACGGCAGAGGGGGGUGGAAUUCCUGGUGUAGCAGUGAAAUGCGUAGAUAUCAGGAGGAACACCGAUGGCGAAGGCAGCCCCCUGGGCCUGUACUGACGCUCAUGCACGAAAGCGUGGGGGAGCAAACAGGAUUAGAUACCCUGGUAGUCCACG
rnacentral:rRNA from 1 species